rnacentral:lncRNA from 1 species
CUUAUUAAUAGAUAUAGGAAAAAAACGUAACUACUAUAAGGGUAUCGGUGAAAUACCUGAAAUAGUGGAAAGGCGUGUUAAGUUAAAUGGGGCAAUAUGCUUAACUCCCUCCACUCUCCUGCUUCUAACAUAAACGGCGUGCUGUACUGUGUUGUGCGUGUACUUGAAAUCCUCAGUUGUUGAGGUAACUCAAAGCCAUGUAUUUCUACACUAUGAACACAAUGGUUUAUUCUUUAGAAGAUAUAGGAGGCAAAGUCAUAAGUAACCGCGCUUCUUACGACGUUUCACCAAUGGUAACUUUCUCUAAAAAUCCAUUUAAGAUCUGUCAUGUGGGAGUCAUUUCGGCAAAAUUUGACAUAUUUUGAUGUUUCUACUAAAGAGAGACUGCUUAUCCAAAUUGAGCAUCUAUUACUUGGAGACAACUUGUUUUUCAGAUUGAGCGAUUAGAGGUAUCUGGGGAAAAUGUUUCUGUUAUACCUCUGGAAGCUCUUGAUCCAGCUGAAGAACGAGUCUCUGUUACAUCAUGACUAAGAUAAGGUUUUGGAUUUUGUUAGAGGAAAGCGACAUUUUUUUGAACAGGCUGACUGUUUUUCUUAUUCUCCGGUGUCAGCAUAUAAAUUUGAUCACUAUUAUAAGUCGUCAGCCGUUGAGAGGAAAGAUUCUGUUCAUAAACCGCACUGGGAGGUGAGUCGAUGUUACAAUGAGAAUAAAUUUCACCAAACAUAUACAAUCUUAUGAUACUCGCGAUAUUCAUUCAUUGUGUUCGUCUUGAUUAGAUGAUUUUACUUGAAAGCUAGGAAAGUCAUCUUCAUUUUCGAAACACAAUUGUAUAUGUUUGUGUUGAUGAAUUUAUUUUAAUUGAAACUGGGGCAGUAAAA